rnacentral:tRNA from 2 species
GGAACCGUGCCUGAAUUUUUAAGGACCACUUUGAUAGAGUGGCUUAUGAGGGUUAAAGUCCCCCCAGUUCCU